rnacentral:lncRNA from 1 species
UUCUCGUAUAAACUACUCGGGGGUUACUCUAAAGCUAAAAGUUCGAGGGAUUUGUAUAAUAGGUACUUAUCCUGAUCUAACAUGUUGAGGUUCUCAGAGCGUUGUUACGGUAAUGAUUUUGUUUUGAUUUCACUCAAAUUUUAUAAAGUAAGCGACCUUUAUACUUAUUGGGUGUGUUAAAUUUUUUUUUUUUUUUUGAUAUGGCUCAAGAAAAUUGAGGGAAUAGAUAAUAG